UAGUAACUGCGAGUGAAGAGGGAAAAGCUCAAAUUUAAAAUCUGGCAGCUCUUGUGGCUGUCCGAGUUGUAAAUUAGAGAAGUGYUGCCCGCGCUGGACCGUGUACAAGUCUCCUGGAAUGGAGCGUCAUAGAGGGUGAGAAUCCCGUCUUUGACACGGACUACCAGGGCUUUGUGGUGCACUUUCGACGAGUCGAGUUGUUUGGGAAUGCAGCUCUAAAUGGGUGGUAAAUUCCAUCUAAAGCUAAAUAUUGGCCAGAGACCGAUAGCGAACAAGUACCGUGAGGGAAAGAUGAAAAGAACUUUGGAAAGAGAGUUAAACAGUACGUGAAAUUGCUGAAAGGGAAACGCUUGAAGUCAGUCGCGUUGGCUGGAAAUCAACCUUGCUCCUUUGCUUGGUGUACUUUCUGGUCGACGGGUCAGCAUCAGUUUUGACCAUUGGAUAAGAGCUGGUUGAAUGUGGCAUCUUCGGAUGUGUUAUAGCUUCUAGUUGUAUGCGGUGGUUGGGACUGAGGAACUCAGCACGCCCGCAAGGGUUGGGUCUUCGGACUACAUUCGUGCUUAGGAUGCUGGCAUAAUGGCUUUAAUCGACCCGUCUUGAAACACGGACCAAGGAGUCUAACAUGCGUGCGAGUGUUUGGGUGGUUAAACCCCAUACGCGUAAUGAAAGUGAAAGUUGAGAACCCUGUCGUGGGGUGCAUCGAUGCCCGGGACCUGAUGUUUACUGACGGCUCUGCGGUUGAGCAUGUAUGUUGGGACCCGAAAAGAUGGUGAACUAUGCCCUGAAUAGGGUGAAAGCCAGAGGAAACUUCUGGUGGAGGCUCGUAGCGAUUCUGACGUGCAAAUCGAUCGUCGAAUUUGGGUAUA
rnacentral:rRNA from 1 species